rnacentral:rRNA from 1 species
AGUGAACGCUGGCGGUAGGCCUAACACAUGCAAGUCGAACGGCAGCACAGUAAGAGCUUGCUCUUACGGGUGGCGAGUGGCGGACGGGUGAGGAAUACAUCGGAAUCUACUUUUUCGUGGGGGAUAACGUAGGGAAACUUACGCUAAUACCGCAUACGACCUACGGGUGAAAGCAGGGGAUCUUCGGACCUUGCGCGACUGAAUGAGCCGAUGUCGGAUUAGCUAGUUGGCGGGGUAAAGGCCCACCAAGGCGACGAUCCGUAGCUGGUCUGAGAGGAUGAUCAGCCACACUGGAACUGAGACACGGUCCAGACUCCUACGGGAGACAGCAGUGGGGAAUAUUGGACAAUGGGCGCAAGCCUGAUCCAGCCAUACCGCGUGGGUGAAGAAGGCCUUCGGGUUGUAAAGCCCUUUUGUUGGGAAAGAAAAGCAGCAGGUUAAUACCCCGCUGUUCUGACGGUACCCAAAGAAUAAGCACCGGCUAACUUCGUG